CUGGCUUUGCUACCUACUUACUGUUCACGGACCAGUCACUUCACCUACUUGACUUCAUGCUCUUUGCCUGGUUAAUAAGGAGGUUGGACUAUAUGGCCUCCAAAAUCCCUUCCCGUUCUAAGUCUUUGAGCUAGUUCCUAUGAAUCUAUGAAUCUGGGAAGGAAACAAGCUGAGUGAAUUGUGGAUGGGAUAUCAAAAGGAAAUAAGAGAGGGAAAGCCUCUUCACCUGGAGUAGCAUUUCAUGAAAAGAGGGAUUUGUUGAACAGAAUAUUUGGAAGAAGGAUGGAGGGACAAAUUAGUUUUGGGGAAGAAUCAGUUCUGAACACCAAAUAUUUAUCAGAAGCUCAAUUCAGUUAAGCUUUGGGACAUAUCAGUUAAAAUAUUGGUCCCAUUAAGCCAUACAUCAGGUAACCAAAGACUAUGGUUGCUGACGUUUACGUAGCUUCUAAUUGGAAGGAAUGGGGCAGGAUCUUGCCUGUACAGUUACGGUAUCCAGUGAUUUCAUUUCUGUUAUUUUAUCCAUCCAUUGUAUAUUGACCUCACUGGAUCAUUUCCAGCACUGGAAGAAGGUUAGUGAUGACAUUUAAAUGACUUUUGCAACACAGGAUAUCAAAAUACAUUCAAGGAGUCCAGGUUUUUUUAUGGGAAGAAAAUCACAAGAUAGAAGACUAUGCUUUACUGUCAUCACAGCAUUCUAUGUGGGGUUUCCAGCAAUGUGACUUCAAAGGCUUUGGCUAACUUAGAUUUGGUGAUGACUUUUUGGGCAGGAGUUUUGCCAGCCCUCAGACUCAAUCCAAACAAAACUUAGGGAUGGGAGUGAUCUGGACAUGAACAAUGCCUUCAGAAAGGGGACAGAAUGUAAUGUUUAAAAGGGACAUUGUUCUCUGAGGUCCUUAUAAGAGCCGUUGCCCUCAGUCCAUGUAGCACAGGUAACAUUGACACCAUGGCUGCUACCAAGUGGAUACUUCUCCUUUCUUCAGUAGCCCUGUUGGGCCUGAGCUCAGCUCAAUUCACAGAUGAAGAGGAUGAACAAAAUUCAGAAGGACCAGUAGAUUCACCAGCACCAUUUGACUCCCAGGAAGACGAUCAGAACCCUGCCCAGCAACAAGGUGGUAACCAGAAACGUGGACCUCCAGGUGGACAGCAAGGAGGUCGGCAAGGUGGACAGCAAGGAGGUCGGCAACGUGGACAACAAGAAGGUUGGCAAGGUGGACAGCAAGGAGGCCAACAGGGUGGCCCUCCAGGUGACCAAUGAAGAGGUCAUUCACUCUCCCCACCCCCAAGUGCAUAAAAAGGAAGAUGUGCAUUCAGGAGGCACCCUUGAAGUCCUCACAGGGACAUGGAUGUUGGGACAGUAAGUACCUCUUGAUCCCUCCAUUGUUUCUUUACAGUACCAAGAAAUACACUAUUAAUUAAACGUUGACUCCUGCUUCUCUUGAUGGUGUUAGUCAUUCAACUUUCAGUGUAUUGUGCUCUAGAUAUAGGGACAGAAGUAUGGUCCCCAGGUACUUAGUGCUUUGCUGAUUCCAGAUUAUUCUACAGAUGUACAGCACUGACUUGGACUUAGUGGUUUAGUCCUAUGUCCCCAAAGUGCACUUUGCUCAAGGUUGGAUAAGAUCCAUGCAUAUAACAAAUAUUUUUGAUCUCCUUUAAAGUUCAUUUUACUUCAAGGAUAUAGAGAAAUAUAAUGUUCAGAGUUCUGCAACCUCCUCCAUAAUCUUUAGUCAUUCCUUGGAAUAGGGUCUAAUUUUUUCUCUUUUCCAAUAUUACUGAGUGGAGCUAAAAAUCUAAGAGCAAAUCUGCUCACCUCUCAGAUCGCUCUCAGUCAGUCAGUGAGCGUUCAGUAAGCACCUAGUAGUGUAUGCCAGAGACUGUGGUAAGCACCUAGAUAUACAGAAAGGUAGAAAGCAAGGAUAGCGAUCAAAACAAAACCAAAAAUACAUAAUCCCUGAUCUCAUGGAGCUAACAGUGUAAUGGUUGGAGUCAUCAUUCAAAAAGCUGCUUAUUUUAAAAGAAUUUGAAAUGUAAUCCAGACAUGACCAGUUUCUAACUGGGAAUAGCCAGAGUUCAAAAGAAUAGGCAAGAAGCAGGUGUGUUAGGAAUCAAGUAGUGGUUUAGUUAAUUUUAGACUGAGGAAGACAAAUUUGACUCUGCUGUAAUAGGCUUUUGUAAAUAAGGCAUAGAUCAACAUCUUACACCAUACAUAUACCAAUAUAAAGGCAAAAUAGGUAAAUGAUUUAGAUAUAAAGAGUGUGGUACUAUAAAAGAUUCUGGAGAGCAAAGAAUGAUUUACCUAUCAGAUCUAUGGAGACAGGGAGAAUGUAUGACCAAAGGAGACACAAAGAAAAUUAUGAAAUGGAAAAUGGAUCAUUUUCAUUACAUUAAAUUAAAACGAUUUUUUACACGCUGUGGCAGAGCCUAGAUGGAAGAGUAUAGUCAGGGACUCACUUGCACUCUCCCCCAAACCCAUCCAAAUACCAUUACAAAUUACUCUAAACAAAUUCUAGAGCAGAAGAACCCACAAAAAGAUGCAUUGAACAAAUUCCCAGCCCAAGACAACUUGGAAGGUCGACAGCAAAUGUCUGUUGCAUAAGGGAGAGAGAGGAGCAUCAUCCAGUGCAGGCAGUGCCAUCACCGACCUUGCCCCAGCAAACCCGGAGCAGAGGCCACUGAAUCAUUGGCAGCAGUGGCAGUCUCCAGAUUUCUUGGCCCACAGAUGCCGCCGACAACAUAGAAGAUCAGCAUGAAAAGUCUUUGGACCAGGAUGAGAGAGGAGAGCAAUCCAACACUGGUUGGCCCGUCUCCAGCCAAUCAGGAGUAGGCCUUGGGAGUGACUGAAUCUGCAGCAGUGGCUUCCAGAGUUGUCAGUCCACACAUUGUAAGGAGGUUGAACAACAAGUCAGAAGAGAUUACAAGGGUCCCUUUGCUAGCACUGAGGCAGGACUCUAUCGUCUUUUAUAAACUUCAUUCUAGGUUGCAGUCCUGAAUGGCAGUCCCAGGGUGAGAAGGAGCACUAGCAGAGCAGAGCUUGUAACAGCAGUAGAGGGGGGACCCUCCUCACAGUUCCAAGGCAGAAAAGAGUGCUUGUGGUCACUCACAGACCAGAUCACAGGCCAGGAGAAGAGUAAACAUGUCUCCUUAGAUCAGACCACCUUGGAAGAACUGAAAACUUACAGGUACCGAGAAGUCUCUCUGAAAACAGCUGCACAAAACUCCUGAAGCUUGGAACAGUUCACCCUGCACCCUGGAAACAGUGCUCUACCUUAACAAAGGAUUAAAAAGUCAAGUAAUAGGUUGAGCAAAUGAACAAACAGUUGGGGAAAAAACUGAUUAUAGAAAUUUACUUUGGUGACGAGGAAGAUCAAAACACACACUCAGAAGACAACAAAGUCAAAGCUCCCCCAUCCAAAACCUCUAAGAAAAAUAGGAAUUGGUCUCAGGCCAUGGAAGGGCUCAAAAAGGAUUUCAAAAUCAAGUAAGAGAAGAAGAGUAAAAAUUAGGAGGAGAAACGAGAGCAAUACAAGAAAAUCAUGAAAAACCCAGUCAAUAGCUUGGCAAAGGAGACACAAAAAAAUACUGAAGAAAAUAACACCUUAAAAAACAGACUAGGCCAAAUGGUAAAAGAGAUCCCAAGACCCAGUGAGAAGAAGAAUAUCUUAGAAAGCAGAAUUGGCCAAAUGGAAAAAAGAUUCAAAAGCUCACUGAAGAAAGUAAUUCCUUAAAAAGCAGAAUGGAGCAAAUGGAAGCUAAUGGCUUUAUGAGAAAUCAAGAAAUCAUAAAACAAAACCAAAAUAAAAAAUGAAAAAAUAGAAGACA
ensembl:lncRNA